UCCCUGGUGGUCCAGUGGCUAAGACUCUGUGCUCUGAAUGCAGGGGGUCAGGUUCGAUCCCUGGUCAAGGAA
rnacentral:tRNA from 1 species